rnacentral:lncRNA from 1 species
AGAUACCAUUGAUUGUAAGAUGCCUUAUUAUUUUGACAACCACUAACAUGGUUAAGCUCUGUCCAAGAAACUAUGACAUGCCAUUGAUUUUAAUAUGCAUGUUAAUUUCAGAUAUACUAAAAUGUGGAAAAAAGUGCCUCUUAAGACUAGGUGAAAUAUGGUAGUUUAUAGUUCAGUGGCUAUUAUAAAGCUGUAGCUUCACUAAAAUGUAUUAUGUUUUUAUCAAGUAGAUUUUUUUCUGUUUGAGGAGUGGUUGUUUGAAUGCUCUAUUUUCAGGAUUCUGGUAUGUUUAAAAAUAUUGGUGGCUUUCAUAAGUGAAGUUAUAUUUUGGCUGGUUAUAGAAUUUUUGAGCUAUGUUACCUUCCCCUUGAUACCCAGUAGUCAUUGUUCCAUUACCUUCUGGUGUCUAGGAUUUCUCUAGAGAAGUCUGGGGCCAGCCUGACUGUUUUUUUCCCUUUAUAGGUGACCUACUUCUGCCUGAGUAUUGGUAGAAUUCUUUCUUUAUCCUUGAAGUUCAUUAACUUCAUCAGGAUAUAGCUCGGUCUUGGUGUGAUUCUCUAUUACAUUUUCCUGGUACAUGGUAAGCCAUUUCAAUCUGCGUUCAGGAGUAUGUUCUUAUAUAUCUUACUGAUAUGCUUUCAGUUUUAUUUUUCUUUCCUGAAGGGACAUCAAUUUUAUGAUUAUUCAUCUUCAUUUCCUGUCUUUCAUUUCAGAUGCUUCUUUUGUCUUCUGCUGUGUUCUAGGUAGUUUUCUCAGUAUUAUCUUUUCAUUAAUUUGUUUUCAUCAAUAUCAGGUCCACUACUUUAUAUGAUGUAGUUUUCAUUGUGCCAGUGGCUUCAGUACUUCAUUCAUUUUUAUUUAUUUAUGUCGGUGAGCUGCCCUUUCAACUUGUCUCAUUUAUUUCCCUCUUUAAAACAGCUUUUACUUGUGGUAAAAACAGGUAAAACCACAUUGUCUUGAGAUGAGUAAAUCAGUGCUAAUACCACAGUUUAUUCUCCAAGAACACAAGUGAUUAGUGAAAUCUGUUUUAUCGUCAUGCUGUUAAAUGUGCUUUAUUAAUGGCAUGAAAUAUGAAAAAACUGUUAUUCAUUUGCAUCCUAAAGACAUUUCUUUUUGCAGUUGGGUGAGCUUUUGUGCACAGUAGAAAUCUGUUUUGCCAUGUGUGCUUUUGUGUGUAUGAGAGAUAAGUGUUCAAGAAUUUUUCUUAUUAAUCGUUGAAGAUCUGUUGAAGAUUUUUUUUUACCCAGUGUGUUUGUAAUGUAAACCAUUAAGAAAAAUUUCAUUGAGAAGGAAAAUCAUGACUGACAGAGGCUGUGUCAUCCAUGUGUGCCAUAGUAAAAGACCUGCUGUAUGAAUUUCAUAGGAGUACUAACUUGCUCUUUGCUUUAUUCUGAGGAAAUUAAGGUGAUCUAAAGUGCCCCUUGGAGUUCCCGUCAUGGUUCAGCGGUUAACGAACCUGACAUGAGGAUGUGCCAUUGAUCCCUGGCCUCUUUCAGUGGAUUAAGGAUCAGGUGUUGCCGUGAGCUGUGGUGCAGGUUGCAGAGCUCUGAAUUGGUGUAGGCUGGCAGCUGUAGCUGCUGUUGGACCCUUAGCCUGAGAACCUCUGUAUGCUGUGGGUGCACCCCUAAAAAGACAACAGACCAAAAAAAAAAAAAAGUGCCCCUUAAUCUCCAUUUGAGGUUGAAGGAAAUAGUGAAAAUUGUGAAUGUGUGUAAAAUGUGGUUACUGAGUAUGAUAUUUUCACUGUGAUUUAUUAAAAUACGUGCAAGACAUAUGUACUGUAAAGUAUCCUAACUGUUUAAUAGGGCCUAGGUUCUCCCAUGGUUUUUGUUGUUGUUUUUUUGGGGUUUUUUUUGGUACGGUGGCUGAGAUAACUGGCAUUUUUAAUGUUUUUGUUGAUGUUAACAGAGGUUAUUUUAGUUAAUCAGCAUGGCCUGAUAUGGCCAGCAGCAUACCCAGUAUUGUGAAUAACCUGAAUUUACUACUUUAUUAGAGUCUAUUCAUAGCUUAUUCUUAAAGUUGUUAGAAUUACCUAAAGGCUCUAAACUGUUAUGUUUGAUUGCCAGUAAUGUGGCAUCUUCCUGAGAUGAUGCAUAUGUUUUCACUGAUCCAUUAAUUCAACAGAUAUUUACAGAGGGCCUACUACAUGCCAGGGACUGGAACAGGUGCUGGAAUAUAUCACUAAACAAAAGUCCGUGCCCUUUUAGAGCUUUCAUUCUAGUGGGUGUAGGGGAGAUAAACAAAACUAAUAGGGAGUAUAUAAGCAUAGAGUAAUAAGCAUUAUAAAGAGUAGGGGAGGAAGUUCCCAUCCUGGCUCAGUGGUUAACGAACCCGACUAGCAUCCAUGAGGUCUUGGGUUCAAUCCCUGGCCCUGCUCAUCGGGUUAAGGAUCCGUCAUUGCUGUGAGCUGUGGCAGGCACAUCUCGGAUCCUAUGUGGCUGUGGCUUGUGGAAUAGGCCAGCGGUUAUAACUCCGAUUUGACCCCUAGCCUGGGAAUCUCCAUAUGCUGCCCUCUAAAAAGCCAGGGGGGAAAAAGAAAAAGAUUAUGGGGAUAAAAUAGGGAGGACAGUGUAAGAGUAUGGGGGUUACAAUUUAAUUAAAACAGGAUGACAUUCGUAUAAUUGAAUUAGCUAAGAAAGGGAAUCGUUCAGAGGGUCCAGCAAACAAAAGACAGAAUUGGGACAGACUUGAGCGUUGGAGGAAGAUAAGGGAAAGCAGUUAGCUGAAGCCAAGUAGUAGCAAGUAGAAGGUUGGAGAGAUGCUGGAUAAUUCUAAAGAAACUUUUAGGCCACUAUGCAGGCUAUUCAUUAAUCUGAGUCAGAACUCAAAGCCCUAGGAAUAGUGACAUGAUCUGAAUUCACAUAUCGAUAGGAUCAUUUUGGGUGCUGAAUUGACACGAGAAAGAUUUCAGAGUACCCACGUUUAUUAAAGUAAACAUUUAUAGCCGAAAUGAAAGCUCCACCAACAAUAUCUCUAUUGUAUUUUUCCUCUUAUUAGGAAGAGAAAUGCUGUUUAUGUCCCACUAGAUCUGUUUCAUGACUGCCCAACUUAGAGUUGAAAAGCACUGCUAAAUGAGAUACAACCUUCUUUCCUUGCUGGGAAGGAAGGAAAUAGUAGAACGUAGGGUGUUGUGUAAUAGAAACUUAAAAAAUCAAUGUUAUCCACAAACUUAGCUUUAAAAAAAAUCAAGUAAUUGUCAGUGAUAGAAAAGGCCUAAUCAUGAAGAGCCCCACUUCUCAGAGACACCUACUUAAAGAAAAAACCUUGUUCAGAUUUCCUGGGGCUUAACUCCAUGUUCUAAAUAAUAUGCUUAUAGUGUUUAUUUUUUGGUUUAUCAACUUGAGACAUUCUCUGUUGACUUCUUGCUAUGACAGAUGUUUUCAGUCCCACUUCUCACUACUGACCUUCCUCGUACGACGGUCACUGAACUGGCGCCUCUCUGGGGUUCUGCCCAGAAGAUUAGCCUUCCUCCUUCGCUGCACCCCCUCUGUGAGUAUUCUGCUCUUCUCCCUCCACUGUGCUUAAUCAGUUCACAUUCUUCCAUCCGUUUUUCAUCUUUUCAGAACCAUGGGCAAUCUCUAUGUUCUUUUAAAAAAAUAUUUUUAAUUAAACAUUUAUGUUAAAAUUUCUUUAGAAAAGUUUAUUUUAAGUUGUUAGGAAGGAGAAGAGAUAAUCUGGCACCUUGAAGAUUAGAAGUUUUGGCCAAAUUUUUUUGUUUUGUUUUUUUUUAAAUGUGCGUAGUGUGUUUAAGAGUUAGAUGCAUUUACAAUAUUUAAUCUUUUUUUUUUUUUUUUUUUUGUCUUUUUGCUAUUUCUUUGGGCCGCACCCGCAGCACAUGGAGGUUCCCAGGCUAGGGGUCGAAUCGGAGCCGUAGCCACCGGCCUAUGCCAGAGCCACAGCAACGUGGGAUCCGAACCGCGUCUGCAACCUACACCACAGCUCACGGCAACGCCGGAUCGUUAACCCACUGAGCAAGGGCAGGGAUCGAACCCGCAACCUCAUGGUUCCUAGUCGGAUUCGUUAACCACUGUGCCACGACGGGAACUCCUACAAUAUUUAAUCUUUUAAAAACAAAUUUUAUCUUCCAAUGUCAUUAACUACUCUUUCAAAGUGAUAUAUAGCAUUCUUUCAUAUAGGAUUCCCCCAAUUUUAGGUUAUUUUUAUAUUACAAGUUAUAUAAAUUAUAACUAAUGAUCCUAUGGAUUUUCCUUAUGGAAAUAUUUACAUGUAAUCUUUAUUUCUCAGGAGUGGUCAUUGCUAAAUCAAAGAAGAUAAACAUUUUUUUGAAGCCCUUUUUUCCCCUUUCAGUUUUAUUGAGAUAUAAUUGAUAUGUAGCCCUGUGUAAGUUCAAGGCGUAUAGCAUAAUGACUUAGAUAUAUUGUGAAAUGAUUAUUACAAUGAAAAUUGUUAGGAAUUCCCUUGUGGUGUAGCCGUUUUAGGAUCUGGCAUUGUCACUGCAGUAGUUCGGAGAGCUGCUGCGGUGUUGUUGGUUUGAGCCCUGCUCUGGGAACUUCCUCUUGCCUUGGGCACAGCCAAAAAAAAAAAAAAAAA